rnacentral:lncRNA from 1 species
GCUUAUUCUGAAAUUAUGUGAUCUUAGGAUGGAUAAUUAGUGGCCAUUGAUAAUCGUGUAUAUAGCCGUUAUGCAUUUUUCGUGCUGGUAGUUUCCAAUAUGCCGAUUAUAUGUUGGUAUGUAUGAUAUAUUGGUUGAUCGUCGGUUGGUUAUUCUGACAUACCGACUAGUCAGCUGUCAUCGUAGUUGACUUGAUCUUGGGUGGAAGUGGAUCGAAAAUCUCCGACUAUAUGUCGAUGUAACCGAUUGAUAGUCGGACAUUCCACUUGUUACACUGACUGAGAGUUGGGUGACAUAUUGUAAUCGAUCCGAAACUCAUUCCGCAA